AUCACACAUAGAAAGCCAUGAAAAAUAAAAUGAAGGAUGUAACUUACCUAUCAGAGUAAUAAUAUUAGUUGUUAUUAAAACACCAACAAUUAUAAAACACUUUUUAUGUUUGGUCAUCAUACCUGAAAAAUAAAAAUAAAGACAUUUAGGAGACUUCUGGCUCCAAAAUGAUGGCAUAAAAGUAAGUUGGCUUUAAUGUCCCCCACAGAAAACAACAACAAAAUAUUAGUGCUGUGAUUAUCCCCAGCAAUAUCCUAGAAUUCAAAUAUGAGAAGAAGACAAUUCCUGGAGCCACAGGAAAGUGAAAAACCAACAAAAAACUCCAUACAGAUAAUAAGAGAAUUAGACUUCCAUAUCCAUGAGGACUCUCCCUGCAAUCUUUCCGGUACCCAAGGGCAUGGAAACAUCAUUUCUAUACUGGAAAAAGUGAGAUCAAGAUGGAUAACCAGCUUCCCCACCAGCUUGAGUUUCCUGGCAGGAAACUUGCCCCUGCCUUAACACUUGGGAAGCAUCGGGGUGCCUGAACGAGGACAGGCAGAGACAAAGUGGGGAGGCAGGACUACCAUCCCCAAUACCAGAAACUGUGCUCUGUUACUUGGCCAAAGGAGAUGUCAACUUAGAGUGGCUGUCGAGCAGCAUCAUGGUAUAGGAGGUUUGUUGCACAGGUCCCCUGGGCUGGAACACCUCGUCAGUCUUCCCACACUACUGGGAUAUCCCCUUUGGAAGCACCCUCAUUUGGUAUGAGUGGCACUCUAAUUGUUUACUAGAACCAAGGCAAACCUGGGUUAAGGCACCAUGUAGUCAUAACAAGGAGGCCGAAACCUAGCUGCCGCCCCCCACCCCCAAAAAAAUCGACAGGUAAAUUACAAGGAAUAUUUAAACAAACAUAUUCAAUGUAAACCAAAACAAGCCAUAUAAAAUCCUUCAACACAAAGACAUAGAUGCAUAUCCAUAAGAAACAACAGCAAACAGGGAACUGCGAUACCCCUAAAUGGACAAAGUCGGAAUCAGAGACAGAUCUUAAUGAAAUGGCAAUAUGUGAGCACUUGUACCAAGAAUUCAAAAUAGUAGUUUUAAGAAAACUCACUGGUCUCUAAAAUAACACAAAAAACAAUUCAGAAAUAUAUCAGAGGAAUUUAACAAAGGGAUUGAAAUAAUUUUUAAAAAUCAAAAAGUGAUAUUGGAACUGAAAAAUACAUUUGCUGAACCGAAAAUUUUAUUAGCGGCUCUCAAAAGAGAAUGGAUCAAGAAGAAGAAAUAAUCGGUGAGCAUGAGGAUGGGCUUUUGAAAAUACACAAGGAAAGGAGAAAAAAAGAAUAAAAAGGAAGGAAGAAUGCCAACAUCUUGUAGAAAAUUACUGCAAAAGACCAUAUCUAAGAAUUAUUGGUGUUUAAGAGAGAGUCAAACCAGAGCAAGAGGUAGAAAGCUUAUUCAAAGAAAUAAUAACAGAAAGUAUUACAAAGCUUGAGAAAGAGAUAAAGAUUCAGGCAGAUAAAGGUCAGAGAACACCAAACAGAUUCCGACCCCAACAAGACUACCCCUAGGCAUAGAAUAAUCAAACUCUCAAAGGUCAAGGAAAAAGAGAGGAUCCUAAAAUCAGCAAGAGAAGAGAAGCAAAUAAUAUUUAAAGGAGCUCCAAUUUAUCUGAUGAUAGACGUCUCAGUGGAAACCAUACAGACCAAGAGAAAAGUGAUGACAUUUUUUAAGUGCUGAAAAAAAAAAAAAACCCUGCCAUCUAAGAAUACCAUAUCCUGCAAAGCUGACCUUCAAAUAUGAAGAAGAGACAAUGUUUCCCAGACAAACAAAAACUGAGAGAAUUCACCACCACCAGACAUAUCUUAUAAGAAAUGCUAAAGGGAGUUCUUCAACCAAAAAGAAAAAAACACACGAACAGAAAACAGCUGAAUAUCUAAAAUACACUGAUAAAAUUAAGUGUAUGCACAAACCCAGAAUACUCUAAUACUGUAAUUGUGGUGCACAAUCUUCUCAUAUCCCUAGUAAUGAAGACUGGAAGAUAAAUCUAUCAAGAACAAUGAUAACUGCAGAAACCAGUUAAGAGGUAAGCAAUAAAAAUAUGUGAAUUGGGAAAACUAAAUUAAAAAUGUGUGAGGGUGGAGUAAAAGUGUUUUUUUCCUUUGUUGCUAUUCUUUGUGAUAUAAGUUGUUAUCUCUUUAAAAUAACUUGUUAUAUCUAUAAGAUUUUUUAUAAGCCUCAUAGUAAUCACAAUGCAAAACCUAUAGUAGAGUCAUUAAAAAUAAAAAGCAACUAAUUAAUAUAUACCACCAGAGAAAAUUAUAUAACCCCAAAGAAUGACAGUAAGAAAAGAAAAAAGAGAGAAAUUUAAAAACAACCAUAAAACAAGCAACAAAACAGCCCCAGAAAAUCCUUACUUAACAAUAACAUGGAAUUUAAAUGAACUCAACUCUCCAAUUAAAAGACAUAAAGUGCAGGCCGGGUGCAGUGGCUCACGCCUGUAAUCCCAGAAUUUUGGGAGGCCAAGGCAGGCAGAUCAUUUGAGGUCAGGAGCUCAAGACUAGCCUGUCCAACAUAACGAAACCACAUUUCUACUAAAAAUACAAAACUUAGCUUGGUGUGGUGGUGUAUGCCUGUGAUCCUGGCUACUCAGGAGGCUGAGGCAGGAGAGUCGCUUGAAUCCAGGAGUUGGAGGCUGCAGUGAUCUGAGAUCAUGCCACUCCACUCCAGCCUGGGCAAUAAAGCAAGACUCUCUCAAAAAAAAAAAAAAAAAAAAAGCAUAAAGUUAAAGUGGCUGACUUGGUAAAGAGAAAACCCUAACUGUAUGCAGCCUACAGGAAAUCUGCUUCACCUAUAAAGACACACAGAGAAUGAAAGUGAAGGGGAUGAACAAAGAUAUUCCAUGCAAAUAGAAACCAAAAAAGCCGGAGCAGCUAUACUUAUAUCAGAUAAAAUAGAUUACAAAACUUUAAAAGACUACUUUAAAAAGAGACAAAGGUUACUAUAUAAUGCUAAAGAGGUCAAUUCAGCAAGAGGAUAUGACAGUUCUAAAAAUCUAUGGACCCAACACCAGAUCUCCCAAGUAUAUAAAGCAAACAUUCAUUGAUCUAAAGGGAGAGAUAGACUGCAAUGCAAUAAUAUUGGGGGACUUUAACUCCUCACCCUGAGUAAUGGACAGAUAAUCUAAACAGGAAAUCAACAAGGAAUAUUGGAGUUAUACUGCACACUUUACCAAAUAUAUCCAACUGACACGUACAGAAGCACUGCUGCAGAAUACUCAUUAUUUUUAUCAGUACAUGGAGCAUUCUCCAGAACAGACCACAUUGUAGGCCAAAAAACAAGUCUCAAUAAAUUAAAAAAAGUAGAAAUCUAAUCAAGUAUCUUUUCUGACCACAAUGGGAUGAAACUAGAAGUCAAUAACUUGAGAAACCUCAGAAACUGCACAAACAUGAAAAUUAAAUAAUGUGCUCCUUAACGACCAAAGAGUCAAUGUUGAAAUUAAGAAAAUUUUAAAAAUUUCUUGAAACAAAUGAAAAUGGAAGCACAAUAAACUAAAAUCUGUGGAAUGCAGAAAAGCAGUACAAAGAAGGAAGUUUAUAGUAAUAAAUGCCUUUAAAAAAAGGUAAAAAGACUUCAGAUAAAUAACCUAAUGAUGAACUUAAAGGAUUUGUAAGAGCAAGAACAAACCAAACCCCAAAUUAGUAGAAAAAAGAAGUGUUAAAAAAUCAAGCUCUUUCUGAUGAGGUUUCUUAUCUUUCAUAUAUAACCUUAUUAAUAUCAUGAAUUAUUUAUUAAUUUUCUUUAAACCUCAGGUAUCGAAAAGACAGGAAGUUUUUUCUCUGUUUUCAAUGCCAUGAAUCAAGUAAAUAUGUCAGUAUGUCAUUCCGUUUUUCUCCCCAUGAAUUGGCAUAAUGUAAAAAUAUAGAUGUUAGAGAUAUCAUGAUUUCAAAAUCUUGAUCAAACCUUUGUGGCAUGUAAUUGUAUUUUCUUACCCCCAUUUGAUCCUAUACUCUUCAUCCAUUAACUAGUACCACUUCUAUUUUUUUUUAAAGAGCAUAUGUGUGUUGUGUUUUUAGAAAGUAUAGUUACAACAGGAAGUAAAUAAAAGGUAACUUUUGCUAUUAUUUUUUUCUUGUGUUAUAGUUGUCCUGUUUUUAAAUAUUUUAAUUAUUUUGUGUGUGUUAAGAGUGUAAAGAUUAUUUACAUUUGCAGCAAGUGGAAGUAUUUUUUGAGUCAAUUUCAUAUCUGUUAUUUGAAGGAGGUAGUCAGACCAUUUUGAUAUUCUUUCUUCCAGAAUGACUGUUGAAAAGAAAACCCUAAGCUGCUUAAAUCAAUGGCCUUUUCAAUUAAAAAAAAAUCUAGCUUAUUGAAGUAAUGUUUCUGAAAAUUGUGAAGGGAUUUUAAAAAGAGGAAAUAACUUCGAGCUAACAGGUAGAGAGAAGGGCAAUGCACAUCCUGACAAUAUGAGAAAUGACAAUUUGCAGAUACAGCGGAAAAUAGGAGCCCUUUCCAUUGCAAAGUUGGCAAGGUAUUAGAGUAUAAGGACUUGGUGGUGUAUACAGAGUUGGUAGAUUUUACGUACAGAUGACCCCAGCUUCAAAAAAGAUGAUCGUACUUUAAAUGUGGCAAAGAAACAGUGUGGCUUUUGUUAUGAGUUCAGCACAAAAUAGCAGAGCUAGACCCGAAGAGGUCAUUUAUAUUGGAACAUGGUCUUCUCAGGUGUAAUCAGUGGAAACUGAUGAAUGGAGACCAUUAUAACACUUUGGUGUCUUAUACAACCUGGGAAACUUCAUAUAACCUUGGAAGAAAUCUCUCACUCUCAAUACCACCAAAUGACAGAAACACAGCUCCAAACUAGAGGUAUACCACUUUUGAAGAGUAACUCAAAGUAUAAAUAGCAUUUUGCAAACUGGAAGUAACCAUGUGACUAUCUAUUAGUCAUACUGUUGUUUAUUACAAUUUUCUUCUCGUCAAAAAAGAAAGCUUGCCAAGGAGGAAGGAAGUUUGUGAUAUAACAAUUUAAAGCUGAAGAAUAAACACAUAUUUUCUUACUUUCUCAACUGGGAUUCUCAUCUGAACCACAGAACACGAAAUUGCUCAAGUGGCUGUUUUUCUGAUUCAUCCAGGAGUGGUACUUAACCACGUAUCCUUCCAGAACUGUAGGAGAGGCUGAUACUAAUUAAUUCAACAGCAUUCUUUAGGACAUUACUGCUUUCUUAUCCUGUGUUAAGAAAGAUCACCUUAAAAGCGAUAGAAUCAAAGAAAAAGCAAUGGUUUAAACUUUGGCUACUGAAAGAAAAACAAAAACUAUUAUCUCUCUC
rnacentral:lncRNA from 1 species